rnacentral:rRNA from 1 species
GACGAACGCUGGCGGCGUGCUUAACACAUGCAAGUCGAACGAGCGGCGGACGGGUGAGUAAUGUAUGGGGACUGCCCGAUAGAGGGGGAUAACUACUGGAAACGGUGGCUAAUACCGCAUACUGUCGGGUAACCCAUAUGGGAUUAGCUCGUAGGUAAGGUAAUGGCUUACCUAGGCGACGAACCCUAGCUGGUCUGAGAGGAGGAUCGGCCACACUGGGACUGAGACACGGCCCAGACUCCUACGGAGGCAGCAGUGGGGAAUCUUCCGCAAUGGACGAAAGUCUGACGGGGCAACGCCGCGUGAGUGAUGACGGCCUUCGGGUUGUAAAGCUCUGUUAAUCGGGAGACGGUACCGGAAUAGAAAGCCACGGCUAACUACGUGCCAGCAGCCGCGGUAAUUC